rnacentral:rRNA from 1 species
UGGGGAAUAUUGGACAAUGGGCGAAAGCCUGAUCCAGCCAUGCCGCGUGUGUGAAGAAGGUCUUCGGAUUGUAAAGCACUUUAAGUUGGGAGGAAGGGCAGUAAGCGAAUACCUUGCUGUUUUGACGUUACCGACAGAAUAAGCACCGGCUAACUCUGUGCCAGCAGCCGCGGUAAUACAGAGGGUGCAAGCGUUAAUCGGAAUUACUGGGCGUAAAGCGCGCGUAGGUGGUUCGUUAAGUUGAAUGUGAAAGCCCCGGGCUCAACCUGGGAACUGCAUCCGAAACUGGCGAGCUAGAGUAGGGCAGAGGGUGGUGGAAUUUCCUGUGUAUCGGUGAAAUGCGUAGAUAUAGGAAGGAACACCAGUGGCGAAGGCGACCACCUGGGCUCAUACUGACACUGAGGUGCGAAAGCGUGGGGAGCAAACAGG